rnacentral:rRNA from 2 species
GACGAACGCUGGCGGCGUGCUUAAUACAUGCAAGUCGAACGAGAGCCUGCGGCAAAGCAAUUUGGCGCAGGGGGAAGUGGCGGACGGGUGAGUAACGCGUAGGCAACCAACCUUCAAGAGGGGGAUAGCCCCGGGAAACUGGGAGUAAUACCGCAUGAGACCACGGCGGCGCAUGCCGCUGGGGUAAAAGCUCAGGCGCUUGGAGACGGGCCUGCGUCCCAUUAGGCAGUUGGCGGGGCAGCGGCCCACCAAACCGACGAUGGGUAGCCGGACUGAGAGGUCGGCCGGCCACAUUGGGACUGAGACACGGCCCAAACUCCUGCGGGAGGCAGCAGUAGGGAAUAUUGCGCAAUGGAGGCAACUCUGACGCAGCAACGCCGCGUGGGCGAGGAAGGCUUUCGGGCCGUAAAGCCCUGUCUCUGGGGACGA